CGCGUAGGUGGCUGUUUAAGUCAGAUGUGAAAGUCCACGGCUCAACCAUGGAAGUGCAUUUGAAACUGGGCAGCUUGAGUACUGGAGGGGGUAGUGGAAUUCCCGGUGUAGAGGUGAAAUUCGUAGAUAUCGGGAGGAAUACCGGUAGCGAAGGCGACUGCCUGGCCAGAUACUGACACUGAGGUGCGAAAGCGUGGGGAGCAAACA
rnacentral:rRNA from 1 species